CUUGGCCCCGCCUCUUCCCCACCUCCUAUCCUGAGCACGCCAUGUACCUGCUCCUUCCCCUCCCUCCUGGAGUGUGCUAAGGCUGCCAAACUGCUGUUUGGCGGUGGCCAGGCAGGAAGCGCUGGAAGGUUUGGUGAGGUGUGCUGGGGUCUACAAAGCCCACACAGGGCCGCCGGGGUGAAGCAGCUGCUCUGGAGCCAGCCAGCCCGCCAGCCUGGCCACACCUGCGAGAGAUGCACAGACUGGAGGAGGAGCUAAAAGGGAGCAGACCUGCUCACUGGGGGGCAGGCCAGGGCUGAGAGCAGACCCACAACUCGCAGCUCCCGAGGAAUUGGCUGAGAGCAGGGACUGCCCCAGCAGGGGAGAGACUUGGCGGCCCUCACCUGGCCGCAGGGCCAAGGUACAGGGGCAGGCAGCUGCGGCCCUGAGAGAGAGAACGGCCACACCUGGCCACAAGGAGGCGCCCAGUGCAACCUGCAACCAGCCCUGGAUCCAGAGCUGGAAUCUCACCUCCUGUGGGCCACCACGCGUAGCGUGUUCACCAUGGGCAUGGACAAGGACCUUCCGAGGAGCAGGAGCAGCCUCUGGGCCCCACUCCCUCUGCUCUUGGAGCUGCUGAGAUAGGGAAUGAGGCUCUGCCUAAUGCCUAGUUGUGACUCUGGAUAGAAUGCUGAGGAGCCUGCUGGCAGCCACCCCAACACGGACCAGCUGCAACACGUCUCGGAGCACGUCGACUUCUGGAUCCAGUCCGGAGCCAAGGGAGAGCCAGGGCCGCAAGGAGCAGCACCGCCCUGCUGCGAUUCCCCACCUGCUUCCUGGGAUUUGAUGCUUCUUCAGAGGCUCCACCAGUUCUCUCCUUUCAAUCAGUGGAAAGUGCCUGCACAAUUUUCAAGGUACCAGUGGAAAAUCUGAAUGGUUGUCCUCGGAAGAAGAGAGCUGGGUGGCUCGAAUGCUUGUCUCAACAGAAGUUGGUCUCAUAAGACAUUACCUCUCCCUUCUCUAACAGGGGAAAAUACAGUCCACUGAUCCAGCCUGCCUGCUGUCCUAAAGCAGCCAUGCUGUACAUGCUGUGAUUUAUUUAGUCUGGUUCUUGGUGUUUUGCUCCAGUGAGUAAAAACCCUCCUUGGAGAAUCCAAUUUUCUGCCUACUUUAUUUUGUCACCAUUAGUGCAAGGAUCAAAGCCCUUCUGUUCGACCAAUAUGGCACCUUAGCAAUGGAAAUGUCUGCUACCACCACUUGCUUAAAACACACUCGGACAUUGCACAGGGGAUUCUGCUCUCUUUCCAUUUUCCCAGUGGUUUGAAAAACUAGUUAAAACUUACAGAGCAGGAGUUUGUUAGCAGUGGCUGAGAACUGUGAAGUCACUGUUCUUCCCAAUGUUGGUGUGAUUCUUAUUUACUCUUACCAGCUCUAGCCAGCACUGAAGUCAAACAGUACAAAUCAGUCAGCUCACUCAGCUGCCUGGACAUUCAGAACCUUUUAACAAAGCAGCCGAGUGAUCUACUCAGCAGAACCUUCUUUUUAGGUGGCUUGUUUGCAUAAUACAUCUUUUUCUAAGAAAUACCCCACAGUCCAGACCUCUGUUAACUUCACACAAUCUUACAACCCCUGCCAGCUGAGCAGCUUGGUAUAUCUCGCAUGCAUUAAUCAAGUGUGGUGAGACUCAGUUAUUAUAGACAAGGAAACUGAGGCACAGAAAGGCUAAGGGACUUGCUUGUAAGUCUUGGCUCCUAAUUCACAGUCACAUGCCCUGGCUGCCUCCCAGGAAGGGUAGGUAAAUAGGGCUAAUGCAUAAUUAAUGCUCCUACCAGCAUAGCAUCUUCUUUUUAGGGUUAUUUCAAUUUGAAGAGUCAA